CGGCAGGGCGGCAGGGCGCGGUGGUUUUCGCCUGUAAUCCCAGCUCUUUGGGAAGCCGAGGCAGGCGGAUCACGAGGUCAGGAGAUCGAGACUAUCCUGGCUAACACGGUGAAACCCCGUCUCUACUAAAAAUACAAAAAAUUAGCCGCGCGUGGUGGCGGGCGCCUGUAGUCCCAACUACUCGGGAGGCUGAGGCAGUCUUGAACCCCGGAGGCGGAGGUUGCAGUGAGCCGAGAUCGCGCCACUGCACUCCAGCCUGGGCGACAGAGGGAGACUCUGUCUCAAAAAAAAAAAAAAAGAAGAAGAAGAAGAAGAAGAAAGAAGAAAGAAGAAGAAAGAGAGGCAGGGCGCUGCGCACCUCGCCGGGCGUGCGGGGACGUUGUAGUCUCUUAACGGCUCCCGGCUCUCUGGUCGCCUGGCUGCAGGACUACAAUUCCAGCAGGCACCGGGCUCAGUGGGAGGGGCAGGGUGGUGUGGACCUGGCAAAGCAGUGCUGCCCGCUCACCCCCUGCUGCCCUGUCUCCAUGGGGAGUGAGUUUGGAGAGAGAUAUAAGGGAUAAAUCUGGGCUUUUGCCCAAAUCUGGCAGGUCCUACCUCCGGCUGAGCAGCUCUUCCUCUCUUUAUCCUUAUCCGCUGGUUUUUCCAUGGCAUCGCGCCUCCUUCAGCCCAUGGAGCCGCCUGCUUUCCUAAACUACUACAGAAACUGGCCUGAUGGCUGUCUGAGACAUUGUACAUUGUGCCACCGGCCUCUGCUUACUCCAGGCAGAGCGCCAGUUCAGCAGCAUUUGGGAGAAAUUUGCUGCCUGGGCCGCCCGUAAACAACUUGAGCUUUGCAGUGGGUAACAUGGGCUGUGGUUUGGUGAAAAUGUCAACCUCACUGACCCCUUUUUCGUGGAAGUAGAAGUCGAGACAUGAGGGAGAGUAAUUAUUGGCUUACCCGGGAUCUGCUAAAAGCAGAGGAGAAAGCCCCAGUGUUUCCAGGCAUGUGUCUGGGUGGGCCAUUUUUACCAACCCAUUUAAGGGGCUAGGCCUCCAAAAAUCAACCUAAAGGUAAUGAUUGUUUUGAUAUUUUACACAUGUGAUCAUGGCUUCAUCUCACCUUAGACCUGACUGGCCAGUGUCUCAAAGACAUAGAUGGUGACCAGCUCUCUCUGGAACAGAUGGCACUCCAGCUUUGUGGGAGCAACUUUCAAGAAAAGAUUAAGACAUCACUGGGCCAAGCACCCACAUGAUGUCACUCGCCUGCCUGCAUUCUGCCUACAGUGGGUAUUGUGACAUAUCCCUGGCACAGAACCAAGGUAACGUGACUCACCUACCUGGUUCCUGCCCACUGAUGGGAUUGUGACAUAUACCUAGGUCCAGCUCACAGGCAUGAUGAUAACUGUCAUACGUGGACCCAGCCAAUAAGAGAUUUUUGCUCUUAGGCUUAUUACAACAGAAGGCGUUGUAACAUCUCACUAAGCCCAGCACUCAGGCGAUGUGGCUUUCCUGCUAUGGCACUGCACACAAGAAGAAUGUUGACAUAUUCCUGGCCCAGAAUUCAGGUGGUUUGGUGACUCUCAAACCAUGAUUCAGCAGACCUGUGAGGCUGUGAGUUCCCUAUCAGAACACAAUCUGCAGGUUGUAUUGUGCCAUAUACCUGGGACCAAAUUACAAGCACAAUGAUGAAUCUUUUACCUGGAGUCAAGACAUGGGCAGGAUGAUGGAACUUAUCACUGGACCUUUCCACAGUGUUAUUGUGACAUAUGCCUUUGCCCAACAUGUGGUGAUUUGACUCCCCAGACUGGGUCCAGUUCACAAAUAAAAUUGUGCCGUAUACUUGGCCAAGAACCUAAUAGGUGUAAUUGAUGUGCCUGGG
rnacentral:lncRNA from 10 species